rnacentral:rRNA from 1 species
GACGAACGCUGGCGGCGUGCCUAAUACAUGCAAGUCGAACGCAGUGGGGACGGGUGAGUAACACGUGGGUAACCUCCCAUCAGAGGGGAUAACACUUGGAAACAGGUGCUAAACCGAUACCGAUGGAUGGACCCGCGGUGCAUUAGCUAGUUGGGGGGGUAACGGCGCACCAAGGCCACGAUGCAUAGCCGACCGGAGGGGUGGUUCUGCACCACGGGGACGUGGACACGGCCCGGACGCCUACGGUAGGCAGCAGUAGGGAAUCUUCGGCAAUGGAGGAAAGGCUAACCGAGCAACCCCGCGUGAUUGAAGAGGGCCUUCGGGUUUUAAAGUACUUUUGUAAGGGAAGCGGUACCUAAAGAAUAAGCACCGGCUAACUACGUGCCAGCAGCCGCGGUAAUAC